UCCAGUUUGUUCUGUCCUCCUUCUUCUGCUGUGGUACCAGAUCAACUGGUACACAAAUCAGUUCCCAUGUAGGAUGUUAGCAUCACAGGCAGCAGCCUACCUUGCCUUGCCACAAUGUGGGCCCCCAAAGCCAACAUUCUUCAUAUAGGAUGGCUCAGAUGCCUCUUGGGGCAGCAGUUAGCACAUCUAAGUCCUGCCUGUUUUUGAAGAGCUGGGCUUGGUAACUCUAGCACAGGGGCCCCAGUCCUGGCAUCUGUUAACUAGGUGAAGGUGGUGGUUUAUUCUCUUUCCCUAGGGAGGGGGUCCUUGUUUUGUCUUGCUCUUGAGAGCCUGCUCUGGGGCUUUCAUGUAGGCAUCCAUAAUCUGCAAUAUCCUGUUAGUCCCAGAAAUGCUAGAGAUGUCUUAAGGUGAUAGGACUGAGAAUUUACUGCAUAGUUUGUACCCACUCUAGGGCCAGUUCCUGCUCCCAGAGGGCAGGAUAAGUCCAAGAGUUUACCUCCUGGCUCAUGUGUCAGUCUUUUUCCUUGGGUACCUAAUGGCCACAUUCUGUUAGGAAUUUAA